rnacentral:rRNA from 1 species
ACGGGAUGCCUCGUACGGCGAGUGAAGCGGCAAAAGCUCAAAUUUGAAAUCUGGCCCUUGCGGGUCCGAGUUGUAAUUUGAAGAAGCGACUUUGGUGUGGGCUCUUGUCUAUGUUCCUUGGAACAGGACGUCACAGAGGGUGAGAAUCCCGUGCGAUGAGAUGCCCAUUGCCGUGUAAAGCGUUUUCGACGAGUCGAGUUGUUUGGGAAUGCAGCUCUAAGUGGGUGGUAAAUUCCAUCUAAAGCUAAAUAUUGGCGAGAGACCGAUAGCGAACAAGUACAGUGAUGGAAAGAUGAAAAGAACUUUGAAAAGAGAGUGAAAAAGUACGUGAAAUUGUUGAAAGGGAAGGGCUUGAGAUCAGACUUUGUUUUUCCAUGGUGUUCUCUCGGGGACGCCCUCUGGGUCUACAGGGCCAGCAUGGGUUUUGCGGGCGAGACAAUAGCAUAGGAAUGUGGCUCUGCUUCGGUGGAGUGUUAUAGCCUGUGUUGAUGUCGCCACGCGGGACCGAGGACUGCGGUACUAGGAUGCUGGCAUAAUGAUCUUAAGCCGCCCGUCUUGAACCACCGGACCAAAAAAAUU